UGCCUCAGUAACGGCGAGUGAAGCGGCAACAGCUCAAAUUUGAAAUCUGGCCUCGGCCCGAGUUGUAAUUUGCAGAGGAUGCUUCUGGCAACGUGCCUUCCGAGUCCCCUGGAACGGGGCGCCGGAGAGGGUGAGAGCCCCGUACGGUUGGACGCCGCGCCUGUGUGAAGCUCCUUCGACGAGUCGAGUAGUUUGGGAAUGCUGCUCUAAGCGGGAGGUAAAUUCCUUCUAAAGCUAAAUACCGGCCAGAGACCGAUAGCGCACAAGUAGAGUGAUCGAAAGAUGAAAAGCACUUUGGAAAGAGGGUUAAAAAGUACGUGAAAUUGCUGAAAGGGAAGCGCCUGCGACCAGACUCGCGCCGGGCGAAUCAUCCAGCGUUCUCGCUGGUGCACUUCGCCCGGCCCGGGCCAGCAUCGGUUCUGACGGGGGGACAAAAGCCCGGGAAACGUAGCUCCCUCCGGGGAGUGUUAUAGUCCCUUCCCUAAUACCCCCGCCGGGACCGAGGACCGCGCGUUUACGCAAGGAUGCUGGCAUAAUGGUCGUCGGCGACCCGUCUUGAAACACGGACCAAGGAGUCGAACAUUUGUGCGAGUGUUUGGGUGGAAAACCCUCACGCGCAAUGAAAGUGAACUUUGGUGGGAGCCUCGGCGCACCACCGACCGAUCCUGAAGUUUUCGGAUGGAUUUGAGUAGGAGCAUAACUGUUCGGACCCGAAAGAUGGUGAACUAUGCCUGUGUAGGGUGAAGCCAGAGGAAACUCUGGUGGAGGCUCGCAGCGGUUCUGACGUGCAAAUCGAUCGUCAAACAUGGGCAUGGGGGCGAAAGACUAAUCGAACCAUCUAGUAGCUGGUUUCCGCCGAAGUUUCCCUCAGGAUAGCAGUGCUGAUCUCAGUUUUAUGAGGUAAAGCGAAUGAUUAGGGACUCGGGGGCGCUAUUUAGCCUCCAUCCAUUCUCAAACUUUAAAUAUGUAAGAAGCCCUUGUCGCUUAGUUGGACGUGGGCAUUCGAAUGCAGCAGCACUAGUGGGCCAUUUUUGGUAAGCAGAACUGGCGAUGCGGGAUGAACCGAACGCGGGGUUAAGGUGCCGGAGUGGACGCUCAUCA
rnacentral:rRNA from 1 species